AGUCUCAUGGCCCUUAUGGGUAGGGCUUCACACGUCAUACAAUGGUCGGUACAGAGGGUUGCCAAGCCGCGAGGCGGAGCCAAUCCCACAAAGCCGAUCGUAGUCCGGAUUGUUCUCUGCAACUCGAGAGCAUGAAGUCGGAAUCGCUAGUAAUCGCAGGUCAGCAUACUGCGGUGAAUACGUUCCCGGGUCUU
rnacentral:rRNA from 1 species